rnacentral:rRNA from 1 species
AUUGAACGCUGGCGGCAUGCUUUACACAUGCAAGUCGAACGGCAGCGCGGGCUUCGGCCUGGCGGCGAGUGGCGAACGGGUGAGUAAUGCAUCGGAACGUGCCCAGUAGUGGGGGAUAGCCCGGCGAAAGCCGGAUUAAUACCGCAUACGACCUGAGGGUGAAAGCGGGGGACCGAAAGGCCUCGCGCUAUUGGAGCGGCCGAUGUCGGAUUAGCUAGUUGGUGGGGUAAAGGCUUACCAAGGCGACGAUCCGUAGCUGGUCUGAGAGGACGACCAGCCACACUUGGACUGAGGCACGGCCCAGACUCCUACGGGAGGCAGCAGUGGGGAAUUUUGGACAAUGGGGGCAACCCUGAUCCAGCCAUGCCGCGUGCGGGAAGAAGGCCUUCGGGUUUUAAACCGCUUUUGUUCGGGAAGAAAUCCUCUGGGCUAAUACCCCGGGGGGAUGACGGUACCGGAAGAAUAAGCACCGGCUAACUACGUG